rnacentral:lncRNA from 1 species
GUCCAAUCCGUCCCUUCUCCUCCUAUGCCGGCCGGGCUCCAGGGACGUCCCGUAGGUGGUACCCCCUUUCUUCUCCGAUCUCGGUGGGACCUCCAUUUGUCGGCGCCAGCACCGAGCUGGUACCGAGAAUCGGGCGAAAGCCUACGGGAUGAAAGAAACACACAUACACACACACACAGGUUAUCGUGUCAAGCCAGGAGAGGAAGAGAGGAAGAGAGAGAGAGAGAGAGAGAGAGAGAGAGAGAGAGAGGAAGAUGGGAAGGAAGAGUGAGAGUGAGGAAGAAGAGUGAGAGUCUCCUGUAGCUUUAUUCACCACUUAUAUACCCAAGUCUCCAGGUAGAAAAUAACUGGGAAGCACAGUGGGAAACCCUGGCUCGUGACUACCUGGCUCGUGACUUCGGUAACAAAAGACCAACUACGAGACCUGAUUAGGGAGAAAUCCCAGAAGACCAGCCUAAAUCUCAAGGAUAAAGGCUGAGGAAGUAAAAGGCAGAAGUAAAUUGACCACCACCCAGGUGUGGUCCAGGUGUGUCAGUUCCACAUGCAUCAGCCGGGCUCAGCAGAGGUCAUGCAGUGGAGACACCGGGUGUUUACUACUUGGUCUUUUCUUCCUGUGCCGUAAAUACAUGGGAGAGGCCUCUGUCCAACAAUCCCAUGACUUCUUAACUGUGGCCAUGCAGUUACAAAGCAGCCAGGCCCAAAUCCAAUAUGGCACUACACUGGACCCCACAGGA